AAUCAACGCUGGCGGCGUGCCUCAGACAUGCAAGUCGAACGCGAAAGCCUCCUUCGGGAGCAAGUAGAGUGGCGCACGGGUGAGUAACACGUAGGUAAUCUACCUUCGGGUGGGAAUAACAACCGGAAACGGUUGCUAAUACCGCAUAAUGCAGCGGCACCUAAUGGUGACAGUUGUUAAAGCGGGGGAUCAAAGAUCUCGCGCCUGAAGAGGAGCCUGCGGCGGAUUAGCAGUUGGUAGGGUAACGGCCUACCAAGGCGACGAUCCGUAGCCGGCCUGAGAGGGCGGUCGGCCACACUGACACUGACAUACGGGUCAGACUCCUACGGGAGGCAGCAGUCGGGAA
rnacentral:rRNA from 1 species